rnacentral:tRNA from 1 species
GGCUUCGUAGUUCAACUGGAUAGAAUAACGGAUUUCGGCUCCGUCGGUUGGGGGUUCGAAUCCCUCCGAGGUCACCU